AUGCUCGAGGUCCUGGUGAGCGCAGGCGGGGAGAUGUUGUCGCCUUCGGAGGUGAUUGCGCGGCUGCCAUCCAAGGCGGCCAAUCCGGACGCGCCGGCCAUGGUGGACCGCAUACUGCGGCUGCUGGCGUCGUACAACGUAGUGUUGUGUGAGGUCGACGAAGGUGAGGACGGCCUCUUCGCCCGCCGGUACGGCUCCGCACCAGUGUGCAAGUGGCUCACCCCCAACGAGGACGGUGUCUCCAUUGCCGCGCUAGUCCUGAUGAUCCAGGACAAGGUCAAUAUGGAGGGCUGGUACCAUUUGAAGGACGCAGUCCUUGAUGGUGGCCUCCCGUUCCAAAGAGCAUACGGGAUGACGUUGUUCGUGUACAACAGCACGAACAUGCACGUUAACAGCAUGUUCAACGAGGCCAUGAAGAACCAUUCAACCAUCAUCACCAAGAAGCUCCUUGAGUUCUACAUGGGGUUUGACAGUGUGGGCACCCUUGUUGAUGUCGCCGGUGGUGUGGGUGCAACCAUCCACACCAUCACCUCCAAGUACCCGCACAUCAAGGGGGUCAACUUUGACUUGCCCCACGUUAUCUCUGAUGCGCCGUCCUUCCCUGGUGUGGAGCAUGUCGGGGGUGACAUGUUCGAGAAGGUGCCCUCCGGCGAUGCCAUCCUCCUAAAGUGGAUCCUUCAUGACUGGACUAACAAGCAUUGCACGAAUCUACUAAGGAACUGCUUUGACGCACUCCCUGUUCACGGCAAGGUCAUCGUCAUGGAAGGCAUCUUGCCGUUGAAACCAGACUCAACAUCCAGGGGGCAGCUGAUGUUCUUAGGUGACAUGAUCGUGCUCAUGCACACCCCAGGUGGCAAGGAGAGGCAACAGAGGGAGUUCGAGGAGCUUGCAAGGGGUGCAGGGUUCACCAGUGUCAAGACCACUCACAUCUACGGAAAUGCGUGGGUCAUUGAAUUCAUCAAAUAA
rnacentral:rRNA from 1 species